UUGAUUUUAUUAUUCUUUUUAUAUUUAUGUUAAACAGUAUACCAUCUCUUCUUUUUCCCACUCUCAUCGCCUUCAACUCCCUCCAUUUCGACCUCCAAACAUUAAGAAACCGCAUAGCAAUGCGAACAGAAAAAGUACUUCCUUCUCUGUCCUGCCUUUCGAUCUUUCUCCCCCUCCAAUCGAUGAGGACCUCCUUGUCGUGGAUCUUUCUCAUUUUGGCCGACUAAGGGGUAAUUUUCUUCUUUCUGUCUACUUGUCUCUUUUCAUGUUCUAUUACUUUUGAGUCCACUCUUAAUAGAAUGCUUAUAAAAGUUUUCCCACCCUUCUUUAAAGCAUUCCACAUAUAAUAAUUGAGAUUCAUGGCUGCUUCAUGGUGUA